rnacentral:rRNA from 1 species
AUUGAACGCUGGCGGCAGGCCUAACACAUGCAAGUCGAGCGGAUGAGUGGAGCUUGCUCCAUGAUUCAGCGGCGGACGGGUGAGUAAUGCCUAGGAAUCUGCCUGGUAGUGGGGGACAACGUUUCGAGAGGAACGCUAAUACCGCAUACGUCCUACGGGAGAAAGCAGGGGACCUUCGGGCCUUGCGCUAUCAGAUGAGCCUAGGUCGGAUUAGCUAGUUGGUGAGGUAAAGGCUCACCAAGGCGACGAUCCGUAACUGGUCUGAGAGGAUGAUCAGUCACACUGGAACUGAGACACGGUCCAGACUCCUACGGGAGGCAGCAGUGGGGAAUAUUGGACAAUGGGCGAAAGCCUGAUCCAGCCAUGCCGCGUGUGUGAAGAAGGUCUUCAGAUUGUAAAGCACUUUCAGUUGGGAGGAAGGGCAGUAAGCUAAUACCUUGCUGUUUUGACGUUACCGACAGAAUAAGCACCGGCUAACUCUGUGCCAGCCGCCGCAGUAAGAC